rnacentral:rRNA from 1 species
GGAAGGGCCGUAUUUAUUAGAUAACAGCCAAUAAGACUCGCGUCUAUUGNGGUGACUCAUAGUAACUGAUCGGAUCGCAUGGGCCUGUCCCGCGACAAACCAUUCAAGUUUCUGCCCCAUCAGCUUUCGAUGGUAGUGUAUUGGACUACCAUGGCUUUUACGGGUAACGGAGGAUUAGGGUUCGAUUCCGGAGAGGGAGCCUGAGAAACGGCUACCACAUCCAAGGAAGGCAGCAGGCGCGUAAAUUACCCAAUCCUGACUCAGGGAGGUAGUGACAAGAAAUAACGGGCCGGGA